AUGGGAUUUUGUUUAAAAGUAUUUGCUUGGAGGAGAGGUUGGCUCUUGAGUUACCUUUUCAAGAGGGGGAUAUUAAAGAGGCUAUAUGGGGGUUAUGGGAGUUCAAAGAGUCCAGGUCCCGAUGGUUACACUUUUCUUUUUAUAAAAAACUGUUGGUUUUUCAUUAAAGAGGAUUUUAUUUGUUUAUUUAAUAGCUUUCAUUCCGGAGAAAUUUCUAAGGUGGUAACAUCUUCUUUCUUGACGUUGGUUCCUAAAUCCCCAAAUCUGGUAUCCUUGGAAGAUUAUAGACCUAUUUGCUUAGUUGGUUGUUUGUACAAAUCUAUAGCAAAGUUAUUCGCGGGUAGACUUAAAAGGGUGUUGCAUUCUAUUAUUUUUCCGUACCAAAGUGAUUUUGUGUCGGGGAGACAACUUCUUGAUAGAGUGUUGGUAGCAAACUAA